UCUGGUGAUGAAACCGGAGGGGAAACACCCGUUCUCAUUCCGAAUACGGCCGUUAAGACCUCCAGGGGCGAUGGUACUGCGCAAGCGGGAGAGUAGCUCGUCGCCAGUG
rnacentral:rRNA from 1 species